rnacentral:rRNA from 1 species
AUGAAGCAGGAGAGCGACCGGACAAAAGUGCUGCCCGACGAUGUGCUCGCGGAUGUCCUCGCCCGCCUCGCUCCACGCAGCCUUGCCACGUCCCGGUGCGUUUGCAAGACGUGGCGGGGCAUAAUCGACAGCCAGCACGCGUUGCGCAACAUCUUCCUCCCGAAUUCAUUGGCCGGUAUCUUCAUCAACUUCAAUGAGCUAACGCAUUCAGAAUUCUUCUCCCGCCCAUCGCCCAUCAAGAUUGUUGGUGUCGGCGAAAGGCUCGCCAACCGUGUGAAGGAUCACUGCAACGGUCUUCUCUUGCUUUACGAUGCGGUGGCUAACCCAAUAAGACGAUGGGAGGCACCAUUGCCACCGCCCCAAAGCCUAUGGGCGGAGUGCUUCUUCGAGGAUUCCUAUCUUGUGUUUGAUCCUACGGUGUCAUCGGACUAUCAUGUGUUCUUGAUACCUCGUAUUCCGUAUAUCGAGCUUGACAUAGAGCCAUUUGAAGACCCCAUGGUUGAGAUUGACCCCGUGGUGUUAGAAUCGGAAUGGCCACCUACUUCAUGGACCCUGCGGGUCUUCUCAUCGUUGAAUGGGCAAUGGGAGGAAAGAAUAUUCAUGCGACAAGGGGAGGCUGCGGGGAUUGUGUCUGACUUGGCAACAGACUAUUCAUGGGAUAAGCGUCACGCCGUCUAUCGGUGUGGUGCAUUAUAUGUGCAUUGCGAAAAAUAUUUUGUUAUAAGGUUGUCAUUAUCAGAUAGCACAUAUCAUGUCAUUAAACCACCAAAAAGUCUUGAAUCCGAGAGUUUCCCAAAUUGUUAUCUUGGGAAUUCGAAGAAAGGGGUGUAUUAUGCCUUGCUACUUGAAAAUGGAUGCAAGUUGCAGGUGUGGGUCCUUAACGAAUCACAUGGACAUAAGAAGUGGAUCCUAGAGCAUGAUAGGGACCUCAAGUUACCAUCGCCAUGUCUAAACAAUGGUCCAUGGAUUCUAGAAGAUGUUAACUACAAUGAACAAAAGAACAUUCAGCAUUACGAUGAAACCAAUGGAAUAGAAGAGGAUUUUGAAUGGAACUCUGAAAACGAUGUCUUAGAUACAAAAGAUACGAUCAACAAGGGUGGCUAUGAUUCAAUUCUUGGAUUUCAUCCUUUCAAAGAGAUCGUCUUUCUGAGUAGAAAGUUGAGCAAAAAUUUGAGCAGGGGAUUGGCAUACCAUUUGAAUACCUCGAAGAUUGAAGACUUGGGUAACUUAUGCCCAAAGGAUUACGAUGAUAUUACUGGCCAACAUGGACGUAUUGAAGCUUCUUUUAUGUACACACCUUGUUGGGUGAAAUAG